GUUGGAGCUCACAGUUCCUCUGCACUGCCCAUAUGACAGCUCUGUUUCUCUGGGUGUUGUUGGCUGCUCUGUGCCUUGAAUGCAGAGGCCAAAACGACAACGUGAUGCAACCACAAGGAGAUGUGACGGCUGCUGAAGGAGAGGCAGUAACUCUGGGCUGUCGAUACAACAGCAGUUCUCCCACUAAUUCUCUGUACUGGUACAAACAGGAAGGAAACAGUCGGCCCACAUUCAUCCUGAACCAACUCACACUGGACCAAGGAACCACAGCAGAGACGUUCAAGGAAAGAUUCACAUCCACACUGGAUCAAACAUCAAGAUCAGCUCCUCUGAAGAUCCAGAAGCUUCAUGUGUCAGACUCUGCUGUGUACUACUGUGCUCUGCAGCCCACAGUGACAGGGACUGAGUGUGUCAGCCUGGGUAAUGCAGAGUCCUCAACAGCCCUGGUCACCUGUGGUGUCCCUCAGGAGUCUGUCCUGGUCCCACUCCUCUUCAUCCUAUACAUGCUGCCACUCAGCCGUGUCAUCAACCGUCAUGGCUUCUGCUUUCAUUGUUACGCUGAUGACACACAACUGAACCUAAGAGCUCACCUCAACCCCUCCUCUACCUCACCAUCAUCAUCAUCACCCCUUCCUCCACUCACCAUCCUCACUACCUCUUGGUGA